rnacentral:rRNA from 1 species
UAGGGAAUCUUCCACAAUGAGCGAAAGCCUGAUGGAGCAACGCCGCGUGUGUGAUGAAGGCUUUAGGGUCGUAAAGCACUGUUGUAUGGGAAGAAAUGCUAGAAUAGGGAAUGAUUCUAGUUCGACGGUACCAUACCAGAAAGGGACGGCUAAAUACGUGCCAGCAGCCGCGGUAAUACGUAUGUCCCGAGCGUUAUCCGGAUUUAUUGGGCGUAAAGCGAGCGCAGACGGUUGAUUAAGCCUGAUGUGAAAGCCCGGAGCUCAACUCCGGAAUGGCAUUGGAAACUGGUUAACUUGAGUGUUGUAGAGGUAAGUGGAACUCCAUGUGUAGCGGUGGAAUGCGUAGAUAUAUGGAAGAACACCAGUGGCGAAGGCGGCUUACUGGACAACAACUGACGUUGAGGCUCGAAAGUGUGGGUAGCAAACAGGAUUAGAUACCCUGGUAGUCCACACCGUAAACGAUGAAUACUAGGUGUUAGGAGGUUUCCGCCUCUUAGUGCCGAAGCUAACGCAUUAAGUAUUCCGCCUGGGGAGUACGACCGCAAGGUUG